UGGGAAAAUUAAAGAACCUUAGUGAGCACGCUCACAUACCCCACGUCCCCACAUUGUCAUUGGAGAAAUUAAAUAAGUAUAAGAAAAGAUAUUGAAUAAUAAUUUCCUGUCAAUAUAUAUAGUAUGUCCUUAUUAUCUACAAAAUUUCAUGAAAUUAUGUUGUGUGUUUUCAGAGGAGUUGAGAUGACAAACUGUUGCAGAAGUACAUUGAAGCAAAUAAGUUCAAAGGGGCAUAACUCCUAGAAAAAAAAUUGAACCGUAAUUUCCUGUUGAUAUGCACAUCUACAUAGUAUGUCCUUAUUAUCUACAAAGUUUCAUGAAAUUCUGUUAUGUGGUUUGAGAGGAGUUGCGAUGACAAACUGUUGCAGUAGUACAUUAAAGUAAAUAAGUUCAAAGGGGCGUAACUCCUAGAAAAAAAAUUGAAUCGCAAUUUCCCGUCGAUAUGCACAACUACAUAGUAUGUCCUUAUUAUCUGAAAAGGUUUCGUGAAAUUCUGUGUGUGGUUUGAGAGGAGUUGCGAUGACAAACUGUUGCAGUAGUACAUUAAAGUAAAUAAGUUCAAAGGGGCGUAACUCCUAGAAAAAAAAUUGAAUCGCAAUUUCCCGUCGAUAUGCACAACUACAUAGUAUUUCCUUAUUAUCUGAAAAGGUUUCGUGAAAUUCUGUUGUGUGGUUUGGGAGGAGUUGCGAUGACAAACUGUUGCAGUAGUACAGUAAAGUAAAUAAGUUCAAAGGGGCGCAACUUCUAGAAAAAAAAUUGAAUCGCAAUUUCCCGUCGAUAUGCACAACUACAUAGUAUGUCCUUAUUAUCUGAAAAGGUUUCGUGAAAUUCUGUUGUGUGGUUUGAGAGGAGUUGCGAUGACAAACUGUUGCAGUAGUACAUUAAAGUAAAUAAGUUCAAAGGGGCGUAACUCCUAGAAAAAAAUUGAAUCGCAAUUUCCCGUCGAUAUGCACAACUACAUAGUAUGUCCUUAUUAUCUGAAAAGGUUUGGUGAAAUUCUGUUGUGUGGUUUGAGAGGAGUUGCGAUGACAAGAAACAGGACUGACGGACUGACGGACGGACGGACGGACAGACGGACUGACGGACGGACGGACGG
rnacentral:lncRNA from 1 species